rnacentral:tRNA from 1 species
GCCCAAGUGGCGGAAUUGGUAGACGCGCACGUUUGAGGGGCGUGUGGUGAAAACCGUGCCGGUUCGAGUCCGGCCUUGGGCACCA